CCUACGGGAGGCAGCAGUGAGGAAUAUUGGUCAAUGGACGGGAGUCUGAACCAGCCAAGCAGCGUGAAGGAUGACUGCCCUAUGGGUUGUAAACUUCUUUUAUAUGGGAAUAAACCUUUCUACGUGUGGUCUUUUGUAUGUACCAUAUGAAUAAGGAUCGGCUAACUCCGUGCCAGCAGCCGCGGUAAUACGGAGGAUCCGAGCGUUAUCCGGAUUUAUUGGGUUUAAAGGGAGCGUAGGUGGUUUGUGAAGUCAGUUGUGAAAGUUUGGGGCUUAACCGUGAAAUUGCUGUUGAAACUGGCAGACUAGAGUACAGGAGAGGUGGGCGGAAUUCGUAGUGUAGCGGUGAAAUGCUUAGAUAUCACGAAGAACUCCAGUGGCGAAGGCAGUUCACUGGACUGCAACUGACACUGAGGCUCGAAAGUGUGGGUAGCAAACAGGAUUAGAUACCUCUGUAGUC
rnacentral:rRNA from 1 species